rnacentral:misc_RNA from 1 species
AAGUCGUAACAAGGUUUCCGUAGGUGAACCUGCGGAAGGAUCAUUAACACGUAUCCAAACGUUAAACCCCCCUGUGAACCUUCAGUCGUACUCGUACGUCCGUUAGAAAUGUUGUGCGUGUAAGUGGCCUGGCAUCCCCAAGCAGUUAGUGUCUGAAAGUGUCACUAACGUUAGUGUCUGAAAGUGUCACUAACAUGUGUAAGGAUGACGCAGUCACGAUCGUUGGAGGCCCACACGGCCGACGACCGGGUCACUGGGUGCAAGCCCCCUUAUCACACCCCUGCUCUAUCUAUGGUGAUCCUGCGGGAAGUCCUGCGGUCGAACGCCGAAACCGAACAACUGUUAACAAUGGAUAUCUUGGUUCUC